AACCGCCGGUCUCUACUCUCUCUCACACUCCAAAUUUCACAAUUUUUCCUCCACCAUUUUCUUGCUCCAAUUCACACCAAAUUCACCACACAAGCUCAAGACAACUUGGACAAUCACUUGGACAAAGAAGGAGCUGCACAUUCACGGAUUUUCUUGGGGCUUUUGGGACACCAAAAUCUGACCUUUUAGCACACAAGUAAGGAGUUGGUGAAGAGCACAAUCUCGAUCAAAGUUUGGAAUUCUAGACACUUCACUUGAGGUUCUGAAAUGCAUGAAGUCUUGGAGAACUAGAACAGAAAUGUUAUAUUUUGAAUGCCCACUUUUGUAAUUGUACUUUUGGAAACGUUAGUAUCUUUUGGAUGAUUUUUGUGUUUUUGGGAAAAUGUGAAUCCUGUGGUGCUUCUGUGCCCUGGAUUAGGAACUUUAAAUUGUAAAUUAAGUUGAAUUUAAGUAUACUAAGCUCGACGUUUUCGUUGGUACUUGGAAUUGUG